ACUCCUGCGGGAGGCAGCAGUGGGGAAUAUUGCACAAUGGGCGCAAGCCUGAUGCAGCCAUGCCGCGUGUAUGAAGAAGGCCUUCGGGUUGUAAAGUACUUUCAGCGGGGAGGAAGGCAAUACGGUUAAUAACCGUGUUGAUUGACGUUACCCGCAGAAGAAGCACCGGCUAACUCCGUGCCAGCAGCCGCGGUAAUACGGAGGGUGCAAGCGUUAAUCGGAAUUACUGGGCGUAAAGCGCACGCAGGCGGUCUGUCAAGUCGGAUGUGAAAUCCCCGGGCUCAACCUGGGAACUGCAUUCGAAACUGGCAGGCUUGAGUCUUGUAGAGGGGGGUAGAAUUCCAGGUGUAGCGGUGAAAUGCGUAGAGAUCUGGAGGAAUACCGGUGGCGAAGGCGGCCCCCUGGACAAAGACUGACGCUCAGGUGCGAAAGCGUGGGGAGCAAACAGGAUUAGAUACCCGAGUAGUCCCAUG
rnacentral:rRNA from 1 species